rnacentral:misc_RNA from 1 species
AAGCAAUAUACAUGCACCAAUGCCAUCUUCGAAAGGAGGCCACGGAAGGAGAUCAACGCUACACACGCCACCAUUUUGUGGGCAUUGCUGCUUGUGCAGUUCAAGGAGGCGGUUGUGUGUAUUAUAAUAUUAUAAAAUUCCUUAAAUAAAUUUACACAUUCAAAACAAUGUCACGUUAUCGUGAAUGGGAUCUUUCUUGCAAAGUUUAUGUUGGUAACCUGGGAAACAGUGCUAGCAAACAUGAAAUUGAAACUGCAUUCAGUAAAUAUGGCCCACUAAGAAAUGUGUGGGUUGCACGAAACCCACCUGGAUUCGCAUUCGUAGAGUUUGAAGACUCACGAGAUGCAGAAGAUGCAGUUAGAGGGUUAGAUGGAACACGCUGCUGUGGAACCAGAGUAAGAGUAGAAAUGUCCUCAGGAAGGAGUCGACGUGGAGGUGGUGGCCGGAGACCAGGUCCAAGAUACUCCAGAUUCUACCAGCGUCAGCUCCUAGCUCUGCUCGUCUCCCCGCCACUACUACUACUGCUACUACUACUACUACUACUACAGCCACCGUGAAAAAAAGUCUAGCAAUCAAAACUGAACAAAAAAAAGCCUGCCUGCCCACUAACUUCCCAACCAGUCACCAUCAGUCACCACCAGUCACCGGUAGGAGCCAAGUCGUCCGUCAGUUGACAGUCCGAUGCUGUCCGUCAGUCCGUCAGUCCGUCUGUUCCCCUUCAAAAAGACUUCUUCGGGCUACCUCAACCUCUAGCGGCUAGGAGCAUCGUGAAUCCAUCGAACAGCCGACGCGAUAUGAACGAAUACUUCUGUCAAAAUCUCGGCGCGUCAGUCCGUCCGUCCGUUCCAACUUCUACUACUACUACUACUACUACUGCUACUACUACUACUCGUCAACCAUCACGUUAAACUUAGCCGACAACGCGACCGCCACUUCUCUUCGACUGAGCAAAGCAAAAUGAUCACCACCUACACACCAUCCCACCACCACCCAACCAAGUACCACCACCACCAACCACCACUACAUGUUCACAGUUGUCUGGUCAAGGUCCCGUAGCCCUCGCAGGAGAUCUCUGACCCGUAGCCGCAGCCGAGACCGCCGUUCUCGUUCGGAUUCCCGUGAUAGACGG